UACGGAGGGGGCUAGCGUUGUUCGGAAUUACUGGGCGUAAAGCGCACGUAGGCGGCUUUGUAAGUUAGAGGUGAAAGCCCGGGGCUCAACUCCGGAAUUGCCUUUAAGACUGCAUCGCUCGAAUUGUGGAGAGGUAAGUGGAAUUCCGAGUGUAGAGGUGAAAUCGUAGAUAUUCGGAAGAACACCAGUGGCGAAGGCGA
rnacentral:rRNA from 1 species